UACGAAGGGGGCUAGCGUUGCUCGGAAUCACUGGGCGUAAAGCGCACGUAGGCGGAUUGCUAAGUCAGGGGUGAAAUCCUGGAGCUCAACUCCAGAACUGCCUUUGAUACUGGCAAUCUAGAGUCCGGAAGAGGUUAGUGGAAUUCCCAGUGUAGAGGUGAAAUUCGUAGAUAUUGGGAAGAACACCAGUGGCGAAGGCGGCUAACUGGUCCGGUACUGACGCUGAGGUGCGAAAGCGUGGGGAGCAAACAGG
rnacentral:rRNA from 1 species